rnacentral:misc_RNA from 1 species
CAACGGACACGCCAGCGCGCAGCUCUUCCACUCUGCUCAACUGUCGCCGCUGACGACAUCAACUAGUUGUGGUGUGCAUGUUUGUUUGUCUUCAACCGCAGCUCUGUAUCUGCGAUGCAGAUCGGCCUCGCCACCGCUGUGCCCUCGCCCACAACUUCUCCCCAGUGGCUGCAGGACAUUGAGAAUCAGCUUCUCAUCCGCAACGCAGUCGAGCUGAAGCCGUCGCAGUCGAUCUUUGAUAGCUACACCACUCUCCAUGCCUCUGUGCUACACCUGCAAACAGUGGAAGAUGAGCGGCAACGAUUGCGGAUGGAGCAGAGUCGGCUCACGGAGCGGGUCCGCGAGCUCGAGCGGGCGGCUGCCAACUCGUCUCUGCAAACGUCGCGCGAGCGUGAACUGGAGGCGAAGAAGGACGCCCUGCAAGACCAACUGCGGGUGUACAUGCAGCGGGAAAGCGACUACUACAAGACACUGUCAGAGAUGAAGGCGGUACAAGAAGAGAGGGAUAAGCUGCAGCUCAGGUCAAACAAGCUGGACGCCGAGCUGGAGCAACGCACAGCAGAGCUGCAGCUGCUGCACAAGGAGUACACGGCCCUCCGCGACGAGUACGACCGCGUGCGGCUGACGGUCAGCGAGGCCGACCGCUACCUACGCGAAGUUAAGACCGCGAAGGAGAAAACCGCGCAACUGCAGCACCGCAUCGCGACACUGGAGGCUGAGGUGAGCGUGCUGCGACGUCAGUUGCAGGAAGCCCUCAAAGGGGAGACGGCCGCCGCCGUGGACAAAGCCAAGCACGCGAGCGCGAACAAGGAUGGGGGGGACGCUGAAGUGACCCCGAGUCCCAUGCACACCACCCAUAGCCCGCACGCGGGCCCGUGCACAACGCUCUCUCCAAACUGCCUUGGUGCAGAGCCCAGUCGCGCCUCCAUGGUCAUCUCAGAGGCACACAAUAGCAGCACGCUGCACGGGCUGUGCGUACUGGAUGACGGCAAGCACUUUCUGACUUCUGGCGCGGACAAGCACAUCCGUCUCUGGAAUCGUCAAAGCGCGCAGGCGGAGAAGUACUUCUCCUCGAGCAGCAUUGCCCUCGCCUUGGAUACCUCGUCCCACUACUUGCUUGCCGGCUGCGCCGAUCACGUCGUGCGCUUCUGGGAUGUGAACAGCUUGCGGGUGCUUGAGAUGACGGGGCACACGGAAAAGGUCGUGGCGGCAUGUCUCACCUCCAGCGCCCAACACGCCUUCACCGCAAGCUCGGAUAGCACCAUCAAGCUCUGGGACGUUCGCCGGCGCGAGUCGCUGCGCACGCUGCUGUGCCAGAGCACAUGCAACGACGUUACUGUGUCCGGCGACACGGUCUUCUCGGCGCACUAUAACGGCAAGAUCACGGUGUGGGACCGACGGACAGCGACGCGCAGCGGCGAGGUGGUGGCCCAUCAGCGCGUUGCGACGUGUGUGCGUGUGAGCGCAAAUGGGCAGCUGUGCGUAUCCAUGGGCAAAGACAACGUCAUAUCGGUACGCGACGCUCGUGUAUUCACUAAGACGCUGUUCAGUGUCGCCCCGGUGCAGCUCAUUGUGAUGAUGAGCUGGGCUCGUCUGUCCAUCGCCCCCAGCGGGCAGCUGUGUGCCGUGGGCAGCGGACGGACCUCGGACCUCCUCCUUAUCCGACUUCACGGAGGAGGGCAGGAUGACGCGGAGGCGACCGACAGCGCAUCAUCUCCAGCGUCGGUAAAGGUGCUGAAGGCAUCUAUGUCGAACGCAACUUCUUGCGGCGAUCAGGGUAGCGGUAGCAGCAAGGGACCUAUCUUUAGCACCGCGUGGGGUGCAAGCGAGGGCGGUCCAUUGGUGUCUAUCAGCAAUGAUCACUGUGUGCAGGUGUGGGAGUGAAGUGCGUGCUGUAGGCUACACAAUGGGGCGACAAACAAACUUGUGUGGGGCCACGGUGCUGUGCGCUCCCUACCCUUUCCGCUUCCACCGAGCCGCCUCGAUUUCCCCUUCGGGUCAUCACCAAAAGUGCCGUGCACUGGGGUGUCUGGAUGUUCCUCGUAUCGCUGCUCUGCUGAUAUUGCUUGUCUUCGUUUUCUUGCGUUUAUUCGGCUGCCGCUCCCCCUUUCUUUUUGUUGUUGUUCAUUGCUAUUGAGACAUGAACCCCCAUUUUGUUCUUGCUCGUGCACGCGCGAUGCAUGCGUGUCUAUGUAUUUGGGAGGAAGUCGUCGUUCUUCCACAACCAUCACCACCAUCCCCUUCUCCUCCCAUGCCUUUCUGGCGUGACUGUGCUGUGCCGCUCCCUCCCUCUAUCGCUCUCUUUCUCUCGUGUCUUGGAUUCGCUGCGUCUCCUUGAAUGGACGCCACCGACGGACACCAAGACGUGACAGCGACGGAACACAAGCGCACAAGUAACGCAUACAAAGCGAAAGACAACAAAAAAAAAACGGCGAGACGCACACGCUGUUUUUACAUGGGUGCCACGGCUGCUGGACUGCUCCAGCACGGAAAGACUGAAGUGAAAAGAGCAAAGGCGGGAAGCUUCUG